GAAGUAGUGCCUAUGCGCUAUUUAGUGGCAAACGGGUGAGUAACACGUAGCUUAGCUGUCCUAAAGUGGGGGAUAGCCGCGGGAAGCCGCGGGUAAUACCGCAUGUGAUCUACGGAUUAAAGCUUAAUGCGCUUUAGGAGGUGGCUGCGGCCCAUCAGGUUGUUGGCGGGGUAAUGGCCCACCAAGCCUAUGACGGGUAUCCGGCCUGAGAGGGUGAUCGGACACAUUGGAACUGAGACACGGUCCAGACUCCUACGGGAGGCAGCAGCUAGGAAUUUUCCGCAAUGGACGAAAGUCUGACGGAGCAACGCCGCGUGAAGGAUGAAGGUCUUUAGGGAUUGUAAACUUCUUUUAUAUGAGACGAGUAAGGACGGUAUCAUAAGAAUAAGUCCCGGCUAACUACGUGCCAGCAGCCGCGGUAAUACGUAGGGGGCUAGCGUUGUUCGGAAUUACUGGGUAUAAAGGGUGCGCAGGCGGAUUUCUAAGCAAGAGGUGAAAUGUCAAGGCUCAACCAUGGCACUGCCUUUUGAACUGGUUAUCUGGAGUACAGAAGGGGAGAGCAGAAUUUCCGGUGUAGGG
rnacentral:rRNA from 1 species